ACUCUUCAACCCACCUAUUCCUUGUUGAAUUGUGUGGUGCUUGGAUUCUGAGCGCUUGCUGGCCAUUACCUGCUUCGGCGGGGAAGGCGAAGCUCGUUCGUAAUACAUUAGCAACUCAAUUUCGAUAAUUCGGAUUGACUCGGCGUAAUAGACUAUUCGCUGAGGACACCAAGCAAUUGGUGGCCGAAUUUCGAGGUAGAAGCUUCUAACCUCAAUUUGUAGUCAAAUUUUAUUUUAAG
rnacentral:misc_RNA from 1 species